CAGCAGCCGCGGUAAUACGUAGGGGGCGAGCGUUACCCGGAUUCACUGGGCGUAAAGGGGGUGUAGGCGGCUCGGUAAGUCGGGUGUGAAAUCCCACGGCUCAACCGUGGAAUUGCGCCCGAAACUGCCGAGCUUGGGGCCGGUAGAGGGAGACGGAACUGCCGGUGUAGGGGUGAAAUCCGUAGAUAUCGGCAGGAACGCCGGUGGGGAAGCCGGUCUCCUGGGCCGCGCCCGACGCUGAGGCCCGAAAGCUAGGGGAGCAAACCGGAUUAGAUCCCCGGGUAGUCCACGCCGUAAACGGUGGGCACUAGGUGUGGGGGGUUAAUCCCUCCGUGCCGAAGCUAACGCAUUAAGUGCCCCGCCUGGGGAGUACGGCCGCAAGGUUGAAACUUAAAGGAAUUGGCGGG
rnacentral:rRNA from 1 species